rnacentral:lncRNA from 1 species
GUUUGUGACGUGGACUUGAACCGUCCGACAGACUUUGUACAGUUUUAAAUAUGUUCGUCAACAUCAUCAAUUUAUGGUAUCGUGGUACAAAAAAAUGAAAUGUAACUAAUUUCAAUUAAAGCAAUUGCAAGUAAAUAAAUCUGAUGUCAGUAUAUUUAAGCCGCACAGGUAAUAUAUCUAAGUAAUUUCAGUAUGUUUGAG